GUGGGGAGCAGCCUGGUAGCUCGUCGGGCUCAUAACCCGAAGGUCGUCGGUUCAAAUCCGGCCCCCGCAACCA
rnacentral:tRNA from 1 species